rnacentral:rRNA from 1 species
CACGUAGGGGGCGAGCGUUGUCCGGAUUUAUUGGGCGUAAAGAGCUCGUAGGUGGUUCAGUAAGUCGAGUGUGAAACCUCCAGGCUCAACCUGGAGACGCCACCCGAUACUGCUGUGACUAGAGUCCAGUAGGGGAGCACGGAAUUCCUGGUGUAGCGGUGAAAUGCGUAGAUAUCUGGAGGAACACCGGUGGCGAAGGCGGGUCUCUGGGCCGUAACUGACGCUGAGGAGCGAAAGCGUGGGGAGCGAACAGG